UGAAGACUAGAGAGUGUCUGCUGCGCUUUUUGACGAAUACACUUAUUUGAGAGUCAAAUGCACAGAUUUUUGUCCAUAAUGAAGUUCAUCAUUUUCUUCAUCUACAUACCUUUUGUUUACUCAGAGAUUCACAACUUCAUCACAUUUUACACUGAAAUAAAUGGACAGACGAUUGCAGGAAUCCCAGAGUUUUCUGCUGUAACUACACUGGAUGGACAACAGAUUGAUUAUUAUGACAGUGGGAUAAAGAAGCUGAUUCCCAGACAGGACUGGAUGAAGGAGUUUGUAUCUACAGACAGAUUUAAAGAAUACACUGAGAUCAGAGAACAAGUACAGCAGACCAACAAAAUCAACAUCACUGUUCUAAUGGAGCGAUUCAAUCACUCACAUGGUGUUCAUACAUAUCAGAGGAUGUAUGGAUGUGAAUGGGAUGAUCAGACUGGAUACUCACAAGGGUUUGAUCUGCACGGUUAUGAUGGAGAGGAUUUUAUCUCACUAGACCUGAAGGAGCUCAGAUACUUCACACCUGUACUGCACGGAAUGCCCACAGUGAUACAGUGGAACGAUGACAGAAAACAACUUGAAUUACUGAAACAAUACUACAAAUAUUAUUGCGUUGACUGGCUAAACUAUUUCUUGACAUUAAGGAAAGCAGAUUUAAAGAGAAGAGGUAGAAUGUCUUCGAGAACUCCUGAAGUGUCUCUGUUACAGAAGGAUCCCUCGUCUCCAGUGUUGUGUCAUGCCACAGGUUUCUACCCAUCAGGAGUAACUAUUACCUGGUUAAGAAAUGGACAGGAUCAAGAUGAGGAUGUGGAUCUUGGAGAGCUACUUCCAAAUGAAGAUGGGACAUUUCAGAAGACAUCUUCCGUCUAUGUUACUCCAGACGAGUGGAAGAAGAACCAGUAUGUUUGUGUGGUGGAGCACAUGACAGGGACCAUCCAGAAAACUAAGUACAAUAUCAAGAGCAACAUCAACAACUGGUACACCCGGUACGUUUGUGUGGUUUAUCACGAGGGAAAGACUAUCUAGAAGAUUCUGACUGAGGACAAGAUCAAGAGAAACAACAGACAUCAUUAUAUGACUGACAGACUGCAACGGUUUGAGUUAAAAACCUUUGUUUGUGUUCUACUGAAGAGACAAAGUCACCUACAUCUUGGAUGCCCUGGGGAAACCAAAGUGUGAGCAGACAAUCUUUCAAAAUAAAACGCUGACCUGGAAUGACAAAAAUCUGCACUUUUCCCAGAUUUCGGUAUAAUCAGGAAUCUUCAGGAUGUGGUAGAACAGAUUAUUAUUAUUAUUUUUUUUUUUUUUUAAAGAAACAGUCCUGUAAUUAUACAUUUUUAAUACUUUUUUGUUUUUCUUCAAUUUGUAAGUUCACUGUAGUUUUGUG